CGGACGGCUCAGUAACACGUAGUCAACCUAACUCGUGGACGUGGAUAACCUCGGGAAACUGAGAAUAAACCACGAUAGAUCAUAAUGCCUGGAAUGGCUUAUGGUCCAAACAGUUUACUGCCAUGGGAUGGGACUGCGGCCUAUCAGCUUGUUGGUGAGGUAAUGGCCCACCAAGGCGAUUACAGGUACGGGCUCUGAGAGGAGAAGCCCGGAGAUGGGUACUGAGACACGGACCCAGGCCCUAUGGGGCGCAGCAGGCGAGAAACCUUAGCAAUGUGCGAAAGCACGACUGGGUCAGUCCGAGUGAUUCCUGAUAAAGGAGUCUUUUGCUUGUCCUAAAAGCACAGGUGAAUAAGGGGUGGGCAAGUCUGGUGUCAGCCGCCGCGGUAAUACCAGCACCUCGAGUGGUCAGGACGUUUAUUGGGCCUAAAGCAUCCGUAGCCGGCUCUGCAAGUCUUCGGUUAAAUCCACCUGCUCAACAGAUGGGCCGCUGGAGAUACUACAGAGCUAGGGAGUGGGAGAGGCAAAAGGUAUUCAGUGGGUAGGGGUAAAAUCCUCUGAUCCAUUGAGGACNACCAUUGGCGAAGGCGGUCUGCCANAACACAUUCNACGGUGAGGGANNAAAGCUGGGGGAACAAA
rnacentral:rRNA from 1 species